AUGCUCAUAUUUAAUGAAUUCAUACGUAAACAAUCGCUGGUGGAGCUGCCAAUCAAAGGCCGAUCAUUCACUUGGAGCAACAUGCAAUCUAACCCGCUACUCAAACAGUUGGAUUGGCAUUUUACCUCUGUCAACUGGGCUGUCAAAUUCCCAAACACUGUUGUCAUGCCC
rnacentral:rRNA from 1 species